CGCGACCUGCCCGCAGCCAUGUGGGUCUGGGCCUUCGGGCCCUUUCCGACCCGGGCGCUCCAACCUCGGGCGGAGGGCGCUGCCUGCCUGCUUCCUACGGCUUACGGCCCCCGGCCCCCCGCGCCAGGGCGGGGCGGGGCAGGCUGCUCCGAGACCCCGCCUCCUCCUGCCGCCACCAGCCCCGCCUCUCCCGCUGCUGCCGGCUCCCUCCGGCCCCGCGGUGCGGUGCGCGCCUGCGCUGGCCCUGGCCUCGGAGCAGCCAUGAUGGAAGGCCUGGACGACGGCCCCGACUUCCUCUCGGAGGAGGACCGCGGACUUAAAGCAAUAAACGUAGAUCUUCAAAGUGAUGCUGCUCUGCAGGUGGACAUUUCUGAUGCUCUUAGUGAGAGAGAUAAAGUAAAAUUCACUGUUCAUACAAAGAGUUCAUUGCCAAAUUUUAAACAAAAUGAGUUUUCUGUUGUUCGACAACAUGAGGAAUUUAUCUGGCUUCAUGAUUCCUUCGUUGAAAAUGAAGACUAUGCGGGUUACAUUAUCCCACCGGCACCACCAAGACCUGAUUUUGAUGCUUCAAGGGAAAAACUGCAGAAGCUUGGAGAAGGAGAAGGGUCCAUGACAAAGGAAGAAUUCACAAAGAUGAAACAGGAACUGGAAGCUGAAUAUUUGGCAAUAUUCAAGAAGACUGUUGCAAUGCAUGAAGUGUUCCUAUGUCGUGUGGCAGCACAUCCUAUUUUGAGAAAAGAUUUAAAUUUUCAUGUCUUCUUGGAAUAUAAUCAAGAUCUGAGUGUGAGAGGAAAAAAUAAAAAAGAAAAACUUGAAGAUUUCUUCAAAAACAUGGUAAAAUCAGCAGAUGGAGUAAUUGUUUCAGGAGUAAAGGAUGUAGAUGAUUUCUUUGAGCAUGAACGAACAUUCCUUUUAGAAUAUCAUAACCGAGUUAAGGAUGCAUCUGCUAAAUCUGAUAGGAUGACAAGAUCCCACAAAAGUGCUGCAGAUGAUUACAAUAGAAUUGGUUCUUCAUUAUAUGCUUUAGGAACUCAGGAUUCUACAGAUAUAUGCAAGUUUUUUCUCAAAGUUUCAGAACUGUUUGAUAAAACAAGAAAAAUAGAAGCACGAGUAUCUGCUGAUGAGGACCUCAAACUUUCCGACCUUUUAAAAUAUUACUUAAGGGAAUCUCAAGCUGCUAAGGAUCUCCUCUAUCGAAGAUCUAGGUCACUAGUGGAUUAUGAAAAUGCUAAUAAAGCACUGGAUAAAGCAAGAGCGAAAAAUAAAGAUGUUCUGCAGGCUGAAACAUCCCAACAAUUAUGUUGUCAGAAAUUUGAAAAAAUAUCUGAGUCUGCAAAACAAGAACUUAUAGAUUUUAAGACAAGAAGAGUUGCUGCAUUCAGGAAAAAUUUAGUGGAACUGGCAGAGUUAGAACUGAAGCAUGCAAAGAGAGAUAGCACAAGUAGACAGAGCGGCAGGGAGAGGGAGAAGCAGGCUCUCCACUGAGCAGGGAGCCCAAUGCGGGGCUCGAUCCCAGGACCCUGGGAUCAUGACCUGAGCUGAAGGCAGCCGCUUAACCGACUGAGCUACCCAGGCACCCCCAGGGUAACCUACAGUUGCUGCAGAACUGCUUGGCGGUGUUCAACGGAGACACAUAAGCCACACUCCACCUACAGUUAAAAAGGGCUGCCUUCCUUCAGAUUUUAUUUUUGUUUUCUUAAUGGUAUUAAGCAUUUACUGCUCACUGGAAACAAAAGAAACAGCCGUCAAAGUGCAUCUACUCUCCUUUUUUCCGAGAAACCACGGAGCGGCGCUGUCCCUGGGCUCUGCCAGCGUGCGUGGUGGGACGCCGCGCCCCCGCACCUGUGCGCCCCUUUGGCCGUCGGCCCUCGCCGUGCGUGCCUCCUCUCCUGAAGCCCCAAGUUCAGGCUUGUUUUAAGUAGCCUCUGUAACUGUGUUUAUUUUAUGAAUAGUAUUCCUUCUGGCUGCCAGUCUUACUUUUAAGUACUCUCUGAAGUUUAACCCUUUUAAAAACACACUGUUCAAACAAGAUAAAGAUUGCCCUUACCUUUUUUUGAAUUUUGUUUUUAAAAAACAUUGUAUACCACCUUAGUUCAUUCAUGUAUCCUGGUAAAGCAUCUUAAUCGGACUUAUUUUUAAUUAAUGAACAUUUCUUAGAAGUUUUGGGACAGAUUUUAUGUAAUCUUUGUAAGUAUGAUUUCUGAUGAAAAGCAAAUGCAUUAGUAUGUUUGCCUUAAACUUGUAGACUAAACCAACUAUUAUCAAAUAAAGUGAUAACAGUGAUAGUUUUUAACUCUGUGGUCAUUGUAUCACUCUAAAAUUUGGAGUAGCUAUAAUAAAUCUACUCCUUUAUUCUGCUUUACAGUGCAGGUCUUAGUUUUUCCUUUUUCUUUUUUUAAAUGGCAUAUUGAAUGAAGUUCACCAGUCCCUUUACAAAAGGAUGAACUGCUUCUCUGUGUGCUUUUAGCCUUUUAUAGAAGGUGGAAUUGAGCAGAGGCAAGUUAGAAACAGCCAUUUCUAAAACACAGGAGCAGACAGAACAGUCUGUUAUGGUUUCCUGAAUUCUAUCUCUGGCUCAGCCAAGGAACCGUGAGACGUGCCAUUGAGCCCACUUGAUCGUUACACUAGUGUAUAAAUUGGUAUGUAGAGAGAAAGAGUAUAUAGGGAACAGCAUUUGUUGGUGGGGGAAAAAUUGGAAUAUUUGGACUAAAAAGGGUCCAAAAAGGAUACUAAUUGUCAGUAGUCAAUUCCAAAUAUUACUGGUCUUCUUAAUGUAAAUUAACAUCAAGUCACUUCUAAUUUAAAAUUAGGUUGUGUGGUUUGAUUUUUUUCACUAACUUCUCUUCCAGUUGGAAACCACAAGCAUUUGGGUUGGUCACCCCUCGUUUAAAUUUUCCCAAACCCUGGUUUAGGUCUUAAGGGUAGUCACCAUGAUUCCGGCCUUGCAUGUUCUCUUGCCUUACUGGUGUGCUGGUUAAUGUUCUUUCACUGAUGUUGUUCCCUGAUGCCAUUUGAACUUGAUUUUUCUGUUGCCUGAGAAAUCUCUGUGUUUUGUCCUCCUUCAUGUCUCCUUCCCUGGUGAAAAUAUGCCCGUGCGAUGCUCUCCAGUGGGUGAACAUUGGGCCAGAGAGCCCUAGCUUCUGGAUUCUGGUGCAGUCCCUUCGCUGACUGCCCUUGUGGCCUCAGGCAGGUUCGCUUGACCUCUCUCUGCCUCAGUUUCUCUACUACAAAGGACAUAUUGACCUACCUCACAGGGGUGUUGUGAGGAUUAAUAAACAUUGGUACAGUGCUUUGGAAA